rnacentral:rRNA from 1 species
UACGGAGGGGGCGAGCGUUAUUCGGAAUUAUUGGGCGUAAAGGGCGCGUAGGCGGCUCGAUAAGUCAAAGGUGAAAUCCCUCGGCUCAACUGAGGAACUGCCUUUGAAACCGUCGAGCUCGAGUCCGGGAGGGGGUAGCGGAAUUCCCAGUGUAGCGGUGAAAUGCGUAGAUAUUGGGAGGAACACCAGUGGCGAAGGCGGCUACCUGGACCGGUUCUGACGCUGAUGCGCGAAAGCGUGGGUAGCAAACAGG